UUACCUCGUGUGGACGGCUUUUCCGCUGUACAUCUGCGUACUUGAGACACACAGUGGAGUUGACUGUGACGACAUGGUGUCUGGUGAAGAACGGUUCCAGAAAGCAGUCCACCGACAUACAUGGCGAGCUAACUGGACAAACUGUUGACAGCGGGAAAGCAGUCCGUACAGAGGAGAUUUAGCGUGUGGCCACUGUCCCAGAAGCACCUCAGGCAUUGUGCAAAUCUCAGCCAUGGUGGAAAACACUGGAUCAGACAGGUUACAGCCAUACUAUACUGUCCACAGUCCA